GGCGAGGUAGCUCAGAUGGUUAGAGCGCAGGAUUCAUAACCCUGAGGUCGGCAGUUCGAUCCUGCUUCUCGCUACCA
rnacentral:tRNA from 1 species